UUAAUUCUUGGCUAUCAGCCGGCAUCCAGCUCUGGUUUCUCAUUUCUACUACCAGGAAAUGUUGCAUUUAUUUGAGGAUUGUUAGAAGGUAGUGGUCGCUCUCUACCUUCUCCCUUCUCCUCAAGCCCUGUCCUCCUUCAUUGAAGACUGUUAUUAUUUAGUUUAUGCGGGUCAUUUCCCUACAUUUUUUACAACGUCCAGCAGCCCGGACACAGUCUAUUUCUCAUUUUAUUGACAGAAAAUUUAUAUAUCGAUCCCCCUACCAACCAAUACUAUCUUUAAAACUACACUGCUGACUCCGUGAGGAAGCGCUGCUAAAGCGCGAAACCGGUCGAGUCCACCUACGCAGCAAGCCAAACCACCGCAGACAUUUCUCUGCCUGCAUUUCCACAACGUGACAGGAUUACUAAUUACAUUCAUGCACCUUAUUCCAAUUAUUUUUGGAAGUGUUCAAUUUUAUUGUUGAUACCUUGUUAUAAUUUAUGUAUAUAUUCCUGUCAAUGUUCAUGGAUAGGCUUGCCUAGAUUAGCCUGUUAGAUGGUUUUUUGUGCUGGAAACGGCAAUACUUUUUCUUCUGUACUAUUAUUUUUUUCUACACAUUAUGAUAUUUUAUAUCUAAAAUAAACAAAUCUAUUUUUUAGAAAAAAUUCUUUUCUUGUAUAUAUAUUUUGACCAACCAAAUCGUGCCUAAAAAGUCCAAAAACUAGCCCCUAGUUCCCUCCUUUAUCAUUUAUACUAGGACGUGGCACCCUCUUUUUACUUUAUAAUAUCCACAUGCACACUACAUGUGAGGAUAUUG